UGCAGAAUCCCGUGAAUCAUCGAGUUUUUGAACGCAAGUUGCGCCCGAUGUCAUUCGGCAAAGGGCACGCCUGCCUGGGUGUCACGUCUUGCGUCGCUCGGUGCCAACUACGCCUGUGGGUCGAAAGUGUUGGCACGGAUGCGGAGAUUGGCCUCCCGUGUCCUUGUGCGCGCGGUAGGUUGAAGAGUGGGAUGCCAACGGAGACGGACACGGCGAGUGGUGGAUGCGAGCCGGACGUCAUGGUCUCAUCCUCUAAAGGCUCGGGGGCCCCUUGUGACACCUAGCAUGGUUGCGCUGUACGCGUUGCCUAGCAUUGUGACCCCAGGUCAGGUGGGAACACCCGCUGAAUUUAAGCAUAUCAAUAAGCGGAGGAGAAGAAACUUACGAGGAUUCCCUUAGUAACGGCGAGCGAACCGGGAUAAGCCCACCUUGAGAAUCGGACGACUUCGUCGUUCGA
rnacentral:rRNA from 1 species